GGACUCAUAGCUCAAUUGGAUAGAGCACCGGCCUACGGAGCCGGGGGUUGGAGGUUCGAGUCCUCCUGAGUCCGCCC
rnacentral:tRNA from 1 species